rnacentral:tRNA from 1 species
UGAGGUGUAGCUCAGUUGGUAGAGUGCCAGACUUGCAUUCACGAAACCCUGGGUUCACUCUCCAGCAUUGCAG